rnacentral:rRNA from 1 species
GAUGAACGCUAGCUACAGGCUUAACACAUGCAAGUCGAGGGGCAGCAUGGUCUUAGCUUGCUAAGGCCGAUGGCGACCGGCGCACGGGUGAGUAACACGUAUCCAACCUGCCGUCUACUCUUGGACAGCCUUCUGAAAGGAAGAUUAAUACAAGAUGGCAUCAUGAGUCCGCAUGUUCACAUGAUUAAAGGUAUUCCGGUAGACGAUGGGGAUGCGUUCCAUUAGAUAGUAGGCGGGGUAACGGCCCACCUAGUCUUCGAUGGAUAGGGGUUCUGAGAGGAAGGUCCCCCACAUUGGAACUGAGACACGGUCCAAACUCCUGCGGGAGGCAGCAGUGAGGAAUAUUGGUCAAUGGGCGAGAGCCUGAACCAGCCAAGUAGCGUGAAGGAUGACUGCCCUAUGGGUUGUAAACUUCCUUUAUAAAGGAAUAAAGUCGGGUAUGGAUACCCGUUUGCAUGUACUUUAUGAAUAAGGAUCGGCUAACUCCGUG